AUGCGCAGAAGCCGGCGGGCCCGAAGGCGCCCCCAGCGGCUAACAAGCCUCAGUGAAACUGGAAAGUUCGGCUUCCCUCGGCCACACUCGGUCUCCAGCCCCGCCUCUCGGCCCGCCUUUUCCUCCCAGCGCCGCGUUGAUGGGCGCGCAGCGGGCUCUGAAAGCCCGACUGUGGGCUGGGCGCUGUGGCGCACGCCUGUAAUCCCAGCACUUUGGGAGGCCAAGGUGAUGCUGGACGUGACAGAGAAGGUGACAGGUCACCCUGAGUGCGGGACUCCGUGCAUACCCAGGGCAAUCGGCCCUGAUGCCCAGGGGCUAGGCUUGCAAGACUGCGCAUUACGUUCGCAGAGCCGGAGUGCAAAGCCAGACCUGGUACCACCAACAGCAUCUCUGCCUUCGUCCUCAUCUGGUUCCCGCCUCAAACCUGUACCCGUGCUGGGGAGCCUGGAAGUUCUCCAGAACAUGAGAGCCCUUCAUGCCUAA
rnacentral:lncRNA from 1 species